rnacentral:rRNA from 1 species
GUGCCAGCCGCCGCGGUAAAACGUAGGUGGCAAGCGUUAUCCGGAUUUACUGGGCGUAAAGCGUGUGCAGGCGGGAUCACAAGUGGUGUAUGAAAGCCUCCGGCUUAACCGGGGGAGGUUAUGCCAGACUGUGGUUCUGGAGGCUGAGAGAGGGACAUGGAAUUCCGGGUGUAGUGGUGAAAUGCGUAGAGAUCCGGAGGAACUCCAGAGGCGAAGGCGGUGUCCUGGCUCAGACCUGACGCUCAGACACGAAAGCAUGGGUAGCGAACGGGAUUAGAUACCCGCGUAGUCC